AACGAACGCUGGCGGCAUGCCUAACACAUGCAAGUCGAACGAAGGCUUCGGCCUUAGUGGCGCACGGGUGCGUAACGCGUGGGAAUCUGCCCCUCGGUUCGGAAUAACAGUUAGAAAUGACUGCUAAUACCGGAUGAUGACUUCGGUCCAAAGAUUUAUCGCCGAGGGAUGAGCCCGCGUAAGAUUAGGUGGUUGGUGGGGUAAAGGCCUACCAAGCCGACGAUCUUUAGCUGGUCUGAGAGGAUGAUCAGCCACACUGGGACUGAGACACGGCCCAGACUCCUACGGGAGGCAGCAGUGGGGAAUAUUGGAAAAGGGGCGAAAGCCUGAUCCAGCAAUGCCGCGUGAGUGAUGAAGGCCUUAGGGUUGUAAAGCUCUUUUACCAGUGAUGAUAAUGACAGUACCUGGAGAAUAAGCGCCGGCUAACUCCGUGCCAGCCGCCGCCGUAA
rnacentral:rRNA from 1 species